rnacentral:rRNA from 1 species
AACGCGAAGAACCUUACCUGGCCUUGACAUCCAGAGAACUUAGCAGAGAUGCUUUGGUGCCUUCGGGAACUCUGAGACAGGUGCUGCAUGGCUGUCGUCAGCUCGUGUUGUGAAAUGUUGGGUUAAGUCCCGCAACGAGCGCAACCCUUAUCCUUUGUUGCCAGCGGUUCGGCCGGGAACUCAAAGGAGACUGCCGGUGAUAAACCGGAGGAAGGUGGGGAUGACGUCAAGUCAUCAUGGCCCUUACGGCCAGGGCUACACACGUGCUACAAUGGCGCAUACAAAGAGAAGCGACCUCGCGAGAGCAAGCGGACCUCAUAAAGUGCGUCGUAGUCCGGAUUGGAGUCUGCAACUCGACUCCAUGAGGUCGGAAUCGCUAGUAAUCGUAGAUCAGAAUGCUACGGUGAAUACGUUCCC